rnacentral:rRNA from 1 species
GAUGAACGCUGGCGGCGUGCCUAAUACAUGCAAGCCGAGCGAACGGACGAGAAGCUUGCUUCUCUGAUGUUAGCGGCGGACGGGUGAGUAACACGUGGAUAACCUACCUAUAAGACUGGGAUAACUUCGGGAAACCGGAGCUAAUACCGGAUAAUAUUUUGAACCGCAUGGUUCAAAAGUGAAAGACGGUCUUGCUGUCACUUAUAGAUGGAUCCGCGCUGCAUUAGCUAGUUGGUAAGGUAACGGCUUACCAAGGCAACGAUGCAUAGCCUACCUGAGAGGGUGAUCGGCCACACUGGAACUGAGACACGGUCCAGACUCCUACGGGAGGCAGCAGUAGGGAAUCUUCCGCAAUGGGCGAAAGCCUGACGGAGCAACGCCGCGUGAGUGAUGAAGGUCUUCGGAUCGUAAAACUCUGUUAUUAGGGAAGAACAUAUGUGUAAGUAACUGUGCACAUCUUGACGGUACCUAAUCAGAAAGCCACGGCUAACUACGUG